GACGAACGCUGGCGGCGUGCUUAACACAUGCAAGUCGAACGGACAGGCCCUGCUUUUGUGGGGUGCUCGAGUGGCGAACGGGUGAGUAACACGCGAGUAACCUGCCCUUGACUUUGGGAUAACUUCAGGAAACUGGGGCUAAUACCGGAUAGGAGCUCUUGCUGCAUGGUGGGGGUUGGAAAGUUUCGGCGGUUGGGGAUGGACUCGCGGCUUAUCAGCUUGUUGGUGGGGUAGUGGCUUACCAAGGCUUUGACGGGUAGCCGGCCUGAGAGGGUGACCGGCCACAUUGGGACUGAGGUAGGGACCAGACUCCUACGGGAGGCAGCGGUGGAGAAUAUGGCGCAAUGGGCGGGAGCCUGAUGCAGCAACGCCGCGUGCGGGAUGACGGCCUUCGGGUUGUAAACCGCUUUCGCCUGUGACGAAGCGUGAGUGACGGUAAUGGGUAAAAAAGCACCGGCUAACUACGUG
rnacentral:rRNA from 1 species